rnacentral:ncRNA from 1 species
ACGGUCUUGGUCCUAAACCUAUUAUUAUCUGUAAUUUAAGUAUACAUGCAAGACUCACCAUCACAGUGAGGAGCCCAAAAAUCUUUUAAAGAAAGGAGCCGGCAUCAGGCCUUGCCAAAGACGCCACGGUACGCCACACCCACACGGGCCUGCAGCAGUAACUAACAUUAGGCCAUCAGCGAACGCUGGACCUAGUUAUAAUUGACAGGGUUGGUAAAAUUCGUGCCAGCGACCGCGGUUACACGAAUAACCUAAGAUAAUAUUAACGGCGUAAACAUGACUAGAAGCCCACUAAUUUAAGGAAGAAACACAGACCUGCUGUAAAACGCCAAGUUUAAAAAAACCCAUUAGCCUUAAAUCAUUUGACUCAUGAAACCCAAGAAACAAACUGGGAUUAGAUACCCCACUAUGCUUGGCAAAAACAAGACCGAAAAGCACGCUUCGGUCCGCCAGAUUAUUACGAGUGAAAACUUAAAACUCAAAGGACUUGACGGUGUCCCACACACAACCUAGAGGAGCCUGUCCUAUAAUCGAUGAUCCACGAAGGACCUAACCACUUUUAGCCUAACAGCCUAUAUACCGCCGUCGAAAGUCCACCCUAUGAAGGAAAAACAGUGAGCACAGUUAGCCUACCUAAAUACGUCAGGUCAAGGUGUAGUCAAUAAAGUGGCCAGAGAUGGGCUACAUUUCCUUUUAAAGGAAAUACGAACGGCCGAAUGAAAGAUGGGCCUGAAGAAGGAUUUAGUAGUAAAACAGGAUCAGCAAGCCUGCUUGAACACACUGCCCUGGGACGCGUACACACCGCCCGUCACCCCCAUCAACACACCUAAAACAAAUAAAUAAAAAGGAGGGUAAAGAAAGAUUGGGCAAGUCGUAACAUGGUAAGUGUACUGGAAAGUGCACUUGGAA